AGACCACAGAGAGAAGCUGCAGAGAACAUCAUCCUGUGCAGUAAGAAAUGCCUAAAGGCAAGCCUUUCUUCUCCCAUUUCUAGUCUUUUCCCUUUUCUGGAAAAUUCUGACUUUUCUAAGGUCAAGAAAAAAAAUUUAACUCCUGGUGUCUCACUCACACCUGCUUUAUAACUGAGGAGGUUGGUCCUAAUAUUACUUUUUUUUCUUUCUAUACUUCUUUCCACUUAAAAAAAAUCAUUUAUUUUGAGAGAGCGAGAGCAGGGAAGGGGCAGAAAGAGAGGGAGAGAGAGAAUCUCAAGCAGGCUGUCAGCACAGAGCCUGAUGCAGAGCUUAAUCUCAUGAACUGUAAGAUCAUGACCUGAACUGAAAUCAAGAGCAGGACGUUUAACUGAGUGAGCUGCCCAGGCGCCCCAGUAUUUCUUUCAAUUUUAACCAUGUCGACUGAUUUGGGAUUUUUUUUAAUGUUUUGAUCUUAAUCAUAUGGAAAGCAGACACAGCAUCUGUACAGUGUACCGUAUAUUGUGUGAAUAUGUGACAAAUGUUUUCACAAGGUGAUUUAGUUUAGUUUAGUUUAGUUAUUUUUUUCUAAUGCAAGCAAUUAGAAAAGGACAGUGGCUACGUAUUGUUGGUUUAUUAGCUAAUAAAUGCCUGUCCAAAGCGUAUAGGCAUCACAUCUGAAGUUCAGUUUCAACAUGUUCAAGCAGGUGCAUGUGGGUUUGGAAACUCACACUCAUCAUAAAUUGUACUUGUCUUGAUAAAAAAAAUGUAGAUGUAGACCAAAGUAUGUGUCAACAAUGAAACUUCUACUUCUCUUGAAAUAAAUCUUUGAAAAAUAUUAACCUAAAAUUCAAGUGAAUAAUUCUGCACAUUUCUGGAGUAACAGCAUUAGAUAUUUUUGUGUAUUAAUUGGUCCUUAUGGCAAUGAAGGUGUUGACACUCUUACUUCAAAGUAAUCUAAUGCCUUGAAAAAGCAUGAUUUGUUCUUAUAUUAGAAAAUAAACUAAACUCUUCUCAAUAGUCUAUUUAGGUAUAUGUAGUUUCUUCUGCAGUCUAAACUUUGGGGACAUGAGUGGAUAAUUGUGAGAUUCCCUUCAAGUUCUUCAAUCUUUUCAUCUCGAACAAAAGGCUAUAUUCCUUCUUCAUCAUGAUAAUCAAUUAACUGUUACUACUAGAUGGAAGAAUCUCAGAUUAAUAAUAACAAAAAAGAGAUUAAUCAGAUUUAGUUCUGAAACAAUUUUAAUAGCAUAGGUAGACAAGCUAGGUGUGUGUUUAAAAUAUUUAGAUUCUAAUAAUCUGAAAUAAUAAUAAUGACAUAAUUAUUAUUAUUAAGGAGUAUAUGGUCAUAUAUUUCCAAUAUCUAUUUGAUGUGGUUGAAACAAACUCUAAGAUGAAAGCUGACAAUGUUCCAUUUCUUUGUUCUCCUCCCAAAACCUUCUUCAUUGACCACAGUUACUCAUCUGACACUCAUCUACCCUGGGUGUCCUGUAGAGACAUGUUUGAAAAUGUCUUUUACUUGAGGGACACAAAAUUUCACGAGCUAUAUGUUUUACACCCCUCUCCCUCUCUCUACUUUAUGAGUGGUAAAAUUACACUGCAUGCAUUGUUAUCCCAAGACUGCGAAAAAUACUUGUCUGUUAAAAUAAACAUUUUUUCUACACAGGUUUUUACCAAAGAGAAAUAACCUUUUAUUUCCAAGCUGGCUUGUUUUUUUGGGGGGGAGGAGAGAAUCUAAAUAUGAUGCAGAUACAAAUACAGAUAUGCUGAGUAACAAUAAAGAAGCAAUUCUCUGUUUGCUCACAUUUUUCUGUUGCAUCAUAUAUGUAUUAUACAUGCAUUUGUACUUCUUUACCAUUCACUGCUUUGAAGACUGAAAUGCUUGGCAUAAUUCAUAUUUUUUCAAAUAUCUAUCCCAAAAUAUACUUUAUAAAAAAUACAAAUGAGCUUUUAACACACUGCAGACAUUCUAAGAAAUAGUCUGGAACCUCACUAAGAAUAGUGUCAGAAUUUGAGAGGGAUUUGUUCUAGGCGUGACAUGAAAUGUAAAAAUUGAAUUUCUUGCACAAACUUAAAACCAAAACAUCGUAUAACCUCUCUGUGUUUUGGACCCAACACGUCUCUGUCUAUUUGGAUAAAAGCUAUUGGAUGCACAUUUUUUGGUGAACUGUCAACAGCAAAGCAUGAAAACAGAUGUGUUUCUGCUAUUUUCAUUAUUAGGGAAAUAAAAGCAGCUGUGCUGGACUUGUGUGCGAGGGAAGCGCUCAGUGAGGCCUCCACACUCUGGGGGUUGGAAAAUCUGGCAGUGUAGACCAGGAUUUACAUCAAGACUAUCUUCAAACAAUGCCAAUGGAGAUGAUUCCUGGGCAUUGUUUAGGGCUUCACUCCUUUCUGGACACAUUAGUUCAGUUUUUCUGGGAUCAAAGUUCUGUGUGGGAACAUUUGCUAAAGGUAGGUAAAAUUAUGAUGGCCUUCAUUUGCAUAAAAGCAGUAAGAAAGGUUAUGUCAGAACUGGACUUUCUCAGCAUUUGAGAUUCUAUCAUUUAAAAUAGUGAAGGUAGCGCAUCACAUUGAGGGGUGGCAAGUUCAAACCAAUGAUAGUGCUUCAGUAGAGUUCUGCUAAGACUAUCUGGUCAAGGAGCACCAAAUAGGCCUUUUUUAGACACAACACACACAGUGGGAAAGAAACCUAGCAUGUUUGGCGAAAGAAAAAUAAAGUAUAAAAACAGAGUUUUCUUUUAUGCACUAGCAGACCUGACAGUAACCAGAUGGUAGUUUUUUUUGCACUGGUGGUUUAGUGCAGAAGGGCUAUUUUUGGUCCACUUUGGAAAAUUUGUCACAAAAGUUCAUUUGUCUCAAACUUUCUCUUCUUUCUGUAGGAGUCUGGUGUUUGUGUUUGUAUGUGUGUGUCUGUGCAUGUGUGCAUGUGCGUGUGUAUGUGUGUGUGUGUGUGUGUGGUGAGGGGGACUUAUUUAUGCAGUUAUGUACUAUUUUGCCUUUAUAGACAGAAGUUAUUCCUUGGCAAAGAGAAAGAGACAAAAUGUGAGAAUGAUAAAAUUGGGUUUCUCUGCGUUGAUCUGAAGUUUGAACUGAUGCUAUAUUGGUGAUCAUGGGAAGAAAAGAAUAGAAGACACUGAUAAAAAAGAAUAAUGAUAUUUAACUCUAUACAUUUUCUAAGCACUGUGCUCACUGAUAGUAUCAUGAGAAAUUUUCUCAAGGACAGGAAUCAAAUCAAGAAUGGAAAUUACUUAAAGGGGCAUAGAUACUAAGACAAAUCACUAAAUUCAAGAAAGGAUACCCUGUACCUUAACAUAAAAUAUUAGGGUUUUUUUUUAGGUAACUAUAUGGGAGCAGUUCAGUGCUGUAGCCUUAGACUCUCCAAAUUAUAGAAGUAGGUGCAGGCGUUUCUAAUAAGAAAUGAAAUUCCAUAGCAUCUUAGCAUUCAUUGUCACAGCCUGCCUGAAUGCCAGAAUCCCCAGAACUUCUUGAUUUGUCCCCUAUCUCGUUAUAGAUCUCAAAAGACUCAAAUUUUGCAAUACUUAAAAAAAAAAAGAAUGGGGAAAAAGAAUAUUUAGGUACGGGUUCUAAAAAGCUUUGGCGUAAACUCAGACUCCUGCCCACACAGCAAUUGUGGAGGGUUACGCAGAGUCUUUCUUUCCCAGGUGAAAUAUUUUUGAUUCUGCAAGUUCAGCUCACAUGUUUAUUUUUAUUCUCAUAACAUUCUCUCUCUUUCUCUCUUUUGUUCCCUCUCUUUUCCCUUUUAUUUCUGGCUUUCAAAUAGUAUCACUACUGGCUUAUAAUUGACUAAGCUCAGAUAAACUCAGUGAGAAAAUGGGUUAAGCUAGGGCAUCUGAAUGGCUCAGUUGGUUAAGUGUCGGACUCUUGAUUUUGGCUCAAGUCAUGAUCUCAGGUUUGUGAGUUCGAGCUGAGCAGGGAGCCUGCUUGAAAUUCUCUCUCUGCCCCUGCCCCGCUCAUGCUUGCUCACUUUCGCGUUCUCUCUCUCUCUCUCCCUCAAAAUAAAUAAAUGUUAAAAAAAGAAAAAAGAAAAUGGGCUAAGCAUUACAAUCACGGAAUGGUUAUUAGGAAUGCCAGUAUAAAUGUGCUGGACGCUUGAUCAGUUAUCAAAGAAGUGUUAUUUGAAAAUUAGCACAACUUUGGUCAAAUUCUAUUGAUUUUUAAAGCCCAGUUUUCAAAUAUAACUAUGUCCAGGUUGCCCUACUGAGUAUUCUGGACUGAUCAUAGAUUAAAUGGAAACUCAGGGACCUCCACUCUAUAAGAGCAGGAGGUAAUGGCAGAUGCCAAGGGAGGAAAAGUGGGUUCUGCUUCCUCCAAGUAGCACCUCCUAGAGAUGUAAGUGACAGCACCCUGACACUCAUAGUAGGGCCUGCUGGGAUCAACUUGUAAGUUUUUGUCUUGCUCACUCUCUUACAUUCCUGUGUGUUACAGGAUGUUUAAACCUCAUGUCUUUGGGCUUGAUCCAAAUGGGGUGUAAGUUCAGAGACUGUGAAGAGGGCAGCAGACCCCAAGCCAUGUCCACUCACAACUCAUACUCGGCAGCAAGACUGAGCCCAUAAGUGUGAAUUCCUUCACCUUCCUUUUCCCCACAAUUCUCAUAUAUUGACUUGAUGCAUGCCUGCCAGUCUCAGGGGAUGAGACCUCCCUCACAGCCAAGGUCAGUUUCUCCCCCAUGCUCAUGAUUCCCUCUCUUCUUGGAAUGAGAUCUUACUCCAUCAGUUAUCCUUGCCUCUCCAACACCUUCAACCCCCUUCUCUUUACCUUGCCUUUGGCCUAUGUUAUAGACAAAUCUCUUACCCUCAAAAAAAAGUCCCAUCUUGACCCUGUUUCCUCUUCUCAUUAUUACACUGCUUUCCUUCUUUCCUCCCCAUAUAUGUCAUAGCAGUGUUUAUUUCCAUGUUCACUCUUCAUCCUACUGCCAUUGGGCCUCCCCCUACCCCUCAGCAAUUCUCUUCCACCUCUCCUGUGAUUUUCAUCUUACUCUUCCAACUCCUUCUUGUUUUUUUCAGGGACUCUGGUUUUUUUUCUGCCUUCCUCUAAAAUUUUGAUGAUUUUCAAAUUUUCUUCUUACUGUAUAUACUCUGAGAGCUAUUCUUUUGUUUCAAGGUUUUAACUAUUGCUUGUUCACUAAUGGCUCCCUGUAGAUUUUUCUAGGAUAGUCUUCUCCUGAGGAAAAGUUUCUUGUAUUUACCUCCACUGAACAUUUACACCUGGAAUUCAUACAGGGGUUUUUUAUUUGUUUGUUUUUUUUUAAAUCUUAAUAACCCUGAGAUGGAAUCAGUCUCCUUUCACUGUUCUUUAUGUGAGCCCUUGACUUUGCCUUUUUUCUUUCUGUCCCUCACACUAUUACAACUGAGCGACCACUGAGCCCUACCAAUUGUAUUCAUUAAAUAUUUCUUGACCCUAUUAUCACUGUCUCAUUAGCUCUUGCCUGGUUUACUAUAAUAACCUUCUAGAUAAUCCCUCUGUCUCAAAAUUUUUGAUCCAUAAGUCUAUCCUUCACACUGUUAGAACAGAGUACCAAAAAUCUGUUUUGCUGCCACUCUAUUCAAACCAUAAAAUGGCACUCUUUGGCUUAGUAUAUAAACUUUCCAUUACCAUCUGAACUCAGCUACAUUUUCAGUCCUAUCUCUAGUUUAACUGUUUGUCAAUGUUUCUUUUCAUAUACCACAUUUCUUACCUUCAUGUUCUUAUUCCUCUAACUUCAUAACCUUCCCUCACACCUUCACCUAACUUCUGCUUCCUUUCUCCUCUACCCCUCAAGAUCGCCACCUCCUGGAUGGGUGAUGUUUAUGCUGGUGAUCUAGGGCCUCACAAUAUCUGCUAGAUAGUGGAGGCCAGCCAGGUGGCAAAGGUCAGAUCAAGGGCAUUGUUUUCUCACCCAAGGCAAAUGUAUUGAACAGCCUCUAGAUAGUAUCCAUUAUUUUGAGAAGGUGGGGUGGGGGAGUAAAACUCAGAAACCAGGAAACAAAAAACCAGUGAUUUCAGGUUUUAGAAUUAUGUCCAAAACAUGGGCUGUGGUUACUUGAAAAUGAAACUGAGAAGGAGCAAAAACCUACUAAGUUUUGGAAGACAUUGUAUUGUCAAAGAAUCUACAAGCUAAACUUAUAAAGAUUUAUUAUUGUUCAAGCUCUAAAUUAGAUCAUUCUGUACCAGAAGAAAUCAGACUGCAAAAGCUGGUCAGCUCUCAAGCAUACUUCAGAGGUGGCCACAGAGGACAAUAAACUAGAAAGGAACUUCCCAAAAGGCAAAGCCACGGGCUCCUCUCGGAAUGAAACAUCAGGAGCAGUCAAUGUGGCUGUAUAAGAACUCAUUCUAAGGCAGAGAACCUUGGUGGUUCUUACCCAACAGCCCUUUAUAAUCUUUAUAGACAGAUGACUGUUCCAUGUUUCCAUCUUUCCCUGUUUAAAAUUAGAGACUUUAUGACAGUUAUCCUAGUCAUAUUCCACCAUUGUAGAUUUGGCAUGUGUGUUUGGGGGGGCAGUCACAUAACUUGUCUUUUACUUUAUAGGUUCUCAGAUGCUGAAUGAGACCUACAGAGGGUGUGAGUGUGCUCUAUGUAUCAGAAGAAAUACCACAGAUAUUUGGGUAGACAAAUGGGUAUUGUGGAAGAGAGGCUUAAUUGAUCCCCAAUAUGUGUUCUCCUCAUGCAUGGUAAUGGAAUUUUAACUCUUACAAGGCCAUCCAAAAUGAAGAGUGCAUUUUGUUUCCUUAACAGCUGGUUGUGGUUAUGUGAUUUGGUUUUGGCUUUUAGAGCAGAAAUACUGUGUGCUUCCAGGAUUUUCCCUUAACGGGAUGUCCUUCUCUUACUCCCUUUGCCUUUUCUAGUUAUGGGAAGGAGCGGAUUGGGCCAUCAAUUGAACACGAGUUGGAAGCCACAUGUGAUGAAGAUUGGAGCAGUGAAAUAGAGGGAGACUUUGUGAUUGAAGCUCGUGGAGCUAGCAUGCAAGCCAAGUGGCUCACUUAGGAUCUCUUUCCAUUCCAGCACCAAACUGAUGGAUAACUAAUGUCAAUUAAAUGAAGAAAAAAUUUACAAAAAGUAUCCAGAUAAUCCGACAUGAUGAACACAACUUCAUUAUUAAACUGUAUGUUCAUUUGAGGAGCUUCUUUGUUUUUUAGUUUUUCAAAAGUAGUUACAAACUUUCCCUCAAAUGGGCAACACUGAAGCCAUACAGGCAUAGUUAUUCUCCCCUUCACCUAUGUUUAUUUUACUUGGAAGGAUGUGGAGCACAAUUGGAAGACUGAUGAAAAUGAAUUAUAAGUUUCCACUCUCCUUUCUAUGGACAUGUAUUUACUAUGCCUCAUUUGCAUUGAGAUAGUAGGUACUUACAUCAUUGCAUAUUUUGGUAAAUACUAUUUUAUAAUGGUCAAAGUCACUAAGCAAUUAAUUUCAAGUAAGCAUAAAGUAAUGAAAAGUGAACUUGAGUAAUGUAGGGAAAAGAUAGUAGUAAGCACAUUUCUGGGAGAGUUGGAACAAUGAAGCCUAAGAUUUCCUGGACAUGGAACUCUAGCAAGUUCAAAAAGCCAUCCCAUUAGACCCUGGUGGAUAUAUUACUAGAAAAAUCAGAUAUUUCUCUUCCCCUUAGCUGUGUCUUCUCUCUCCCUAGCAUGAGAGAUAAUUUUAGAUUAUACGGAUGGGCUCUAAAUGCUAUUACAUGUAUCCUUAUAAGAAAGAGGAAUGAGAAGAUUUGGCACACAGAGAAGAUGAUGUGAAGACAGAAGCAGUGAUUGGAGAAAUGUAACCAUAAACCAAAGAAUUCCAAGGAACGCUGCUAGCCACCAGAAGCUAGAAAACUAAAGGAAUGGAUUCUCCCCACAACAUCUGGGAGAACCUCCACAGAACCUGCCCACACCUUGAUUUUGAACUUCUGGCCUCUAGAACUGUGAGAGAAUAAAUUUCUGUUGUUUUAAGUUACCAAGGUUGUGGUAAUUUUUUGCAGCAGCCACAGGAAAUUAACACAGUGGGCAAGCAGUAACUAUAUAAUAUACAUUAAAUUGUUCUCUUUUACAUUAAGUAUAUAAUCAAGGUUACUCAUUCAUUCAUUCCUUUAUUCAGCUAGUAACUACAGUGAUUGGCUCUGUGUGUGUGUGUGUGUGUGUGUGUGUGUGUGUGUGUGGUGUGUACAUGUAUGUAUUUAAUCAUGCUGUAUUUCCAGUGUUUAAACAGUGUGAUGCUCUAGUGACCUUUUCAACAUGUCUCAUUCUUUUCUGCUCAUAGUAACUUCAGUCUUUCAAGCCUCUGUCAAAAAAAGAAAAGCCAUGAGUAAGUUAAUUACUUGAAGUGGGUUCAUCUAUUACAGUGUUCUUUGCUGAUACAUGUAAGCACAAUUAUUACUCCACCUGGCCUGGCAGAAUGACAGACAUUUGAUGGAUGAAAGGUUUUACAAUGUAUUUUAUUCUUCUAAGUAUUGCACAGAUCUUUAUUAAGGUCAUAUCCAUGACAAAUAGACCAUAUGUUUUAAGGAAGUAAACAGCUGAGAUUUAAGAGUCAGCAAGUCGGUCUACAAAGGGCAGCCAAAAUCUCUGCUAUCAUUAGCCUGUGUUCCACCAGGGAAGACAUACAAGAAAGAUAUGGAUACUAUCUGACAAAUAUUAAAACAAUGAGUUUUAAUCCUUCUCCCACCAUGUUACAUCACCGCAAUUCUGUUGAUGUAGGCCAGGGAAAAGGGGAAAUGACAAAUGUUACCUCUGGGAGAAGGAAGGCAUAUGGCAGUGAUAGUCUAUGUUACAAAGUCAGCAGCCAGCCCACACCCCCUUGGCCCAGCAGCUAUGGGCAGAAAAAGAGAAAUAAAAGAUUAGACAGACUUAGGGGAAUGAGAUGGUCAGACAUGGACUUUUAACAGAGGAGGGCAUGAGGGCUCUGGCCCCACUCCCCAUUAGAUCCCUGGGAGGAGCCCACUGAACAGAGUUGUUCACAUAAAAACGUGGAAUGACCCACACUGGGUAAGUGGGUGGAAUGGCAUAGACAGGCCCAGACAGGGUUUUGUUUUCCCUCUGAAUUUCCCCACGUCCUGUGUAAUGUGAAUGCUAAGUUGACAGCCAGUUUCUUGCCAAGCCAAGAAGGCUUCACCACAAGUUCAUUAGGUAUAGAUGUCAGCAGCAGACACCAGCAGAAAGCAUAAAGAUGGGACCGAGCCAAUCAUAGCUCACUGGAUCCAGCCAGUUCACUAAGAAAGCAGUAUAGGAUGGUGGCUAAAGGCCUCAGUUAUGGAGCAGACUGCCUGGGUACAAUUUCUGGCUCUGUCAUUUACAAUGUAGUAAAAGUUUGCACAAAUAACAUUGCUUCUCUGCCUCAGUUUUUCCAACUUAAAACCAGGGUAAUAAAAGUAUUUACCUUAUAGUACUGCUGCAAGGAUUAAAUUAAGCAAUGCAUGUAGUCAAUUAAGGUGAUGUUGGGGUUAUAUAAUCAUUCGUUAACUAUGGUUGAGUUACCCAAAAACCAGCAUGAGGCCAGAGAUUCCCCUUUUCAUAUUGUUUUGAGGUGAUAUUAAUUCUUCCCCCUACUCUUACUCAAGGAAAUUAAGGAGUUGAGGGGACAUAUGUAAAAGAUGAAAUACUUGUACCAAACUAAAUAGUUGGAUUGAAUUAAAUUUUAAAGUGGAAUAUAAUUCAUAUAUUUUCUUUUUCAUUUUUCCUUGCUACUAGCUGGUGGAGUUGGGGACAGCCUUAUAAGUAAGACUAGACUAAUUCAUAAACUAAAAAGGGAUUUUUUUUUGCCUUUUUAAGUUGCACUGUGGAUAAAUAUCUUGUCCUGGGCCCCAAGUUAAUAAACGAACAUUUAUUGCAGUAAUGAUUUGUGACAAAAUGCCAAGUAGGUAAAGUCAUGUAUAAUGACUAUAUAAUAAAAAAUCACAGGAUUUUUCUAAGUUGAUUUCAUGCAGUGCUUAAUUUAAGUAUUUAUACUUUAUAUGUAUUAAGACAUGUAUAGUAUGAGGGAAAUAGGGCCUGGGAAGAGCUCCCUGAGAAGAUAGUAAUGGGGUUUAAACCUAGAAGUUGGAAAGGAGUCAGGCUUACUUAUGUUUGGAUAAAGAGCUUUUCAGAAAGAUGUGUAUUUCACAAUACAAAGGUCCUGUGGCCAGAAUGAAUAUUUUUGUUUUAGGAAUGAAGGGAAAACCAAUAAGACCAGAAUGAUGGAGAUCAAGCCACACACCAACGUAGGAUUUCCAGGUAAUGAUAUGGAGUCUAGAUUAUAUUCUGAAAGAAAUGAGAAACCACUGGAUGUUUUAAUCAAGGAGUAAGGUGAUCUGACAUACAUUUUUACAAAUCACUUUUUUGCAUGGAAAAUGGGUUCUGAAGAGAUAUGAGUAGAAGAGAAGUAGACUAUGAGGUAAUUCAGACAAGUGACCAUGAUAGUUUGGACUAGGGUGAUGAUAGUAGAGAUGGAAAAAAAAGUAGAUGGGUACAGAAUAUAUUUUAGAGGUGGAGACAAUAGUUUCUGCUGAUGCAUUAGAUAUGAAGUUGGGAAAUUGAGGACAAUUUCUUGAUUUUUUGGCUCUAUCCUGGAUAGACAAAAGCAAGUACUCUAUACUGAGGUCAGGAAGAAUAAUUUGGAGUUGAGGCCACAGGAAAGAACAGGUAUCAAGGCUUCCGUUUUGAACUUACUUAGUGCAAGGUAUUUAGUACAUAGCCAAGUAUCAAUAUCAAAUGGUCAAGUAGUGUGAAUAGGUCUGGAUCUUUGGGUAUGGGUCAUGGCGUGGGCAUAUAAAAUUAAGUGUCACCAGUCACAUAGAGGCAUUUAAAACCAAUGGACAAGGAGCAAUCAUCUAAGUAGAGAAUAUAAGUAAAGAAGAGAAAAAGGCUCAGGAUCUGAUUAUGAUGAAGCAAAACCAAAACCAAAGUUCAAAAAACAAUGUUUCUUUAUCCAUCUUUCUCUCAAAUAUUUGUAAAUGCAUUGGAAAAGUGCAUGAAAAUUACAAGCUAAAGUUGUAACAUUGAUUCUGUGAUGGGUUUGGUAUUGGAGGUAGUUGAAGGAAAAUAUUCUUUUUUUUUACUAUAUGCAUUUCUACCUUGUUUGAAGAUGCCUGACUUGAGUAUACUAGUCUUAUUUCUUUUGUCAUUAAAACAAAACACUUGGAAAGCAUCAUAAGAAAUACGUGCCAAUUACAGACAUAGCCCCAUGUCUCAAAAGCAGUCACUUAACACUCAGCAUAUGGACUUUUCUUUGUGUAAAGGUAUUUGGAUGUAGAACUUUAAAUAUUGUAUUUUUAUAUUUAGAUAUAGAAACUUAAAUAUUUUAUUUUUAGUUUUUUACAAAAAAAUAUUUCCCAGAGUUUGUGUUAUUAAUUUCCAUUCUGUUAUACAGUGAUUUUUUCAACCCCAAGUCCUGAUACCACUUACAUUUCUAAUCCAGAUUUUAGUACUGUGAAUCAUAUGUCUUCAUUCUUUGCAACCAUAUAACUUCACUUGGGUAUCUUUUAGGAGGCUCAGCUUAGAUGGAUCAGACUUGAGUUUCAUCAGUUUCUACAAUCAACUACUAUUGGCUACUGUAAUAGACAGUUCAGGCCUAACAUCCACAGAGAAGAAGGAGGGGGAAAUCAGUUAUCAUUAGGGUAAGGUAGCAUGCAUCCAGAUGCUGAAGCCUGAAGAAUUUAGGAAUACUAUAUUUCACUACCUAUGGAUGGGCUUUAUGAUGAAUUAGGGAAGUUGAAAAUAUUGGUUAAGAGUAAGUAAAAGUUAGGAAAAAACUUUAUGGUGAGAAUGAUAACAGUAAUAAUCAUAAUGCAGAAAUGGGAAGUCCCAAGUGGAAAGUGGUGUUACCAUGGUACAAGGAAACAAAAUACAGCUACUUCAGAUAAGUUAUCAAAAUGUUUAUGCGUUUAGAUUUUGCCAAAGGCUGAGUGUGUUUUCUGUUUUUUUUCUGGCUUAUUUUUCAUGAUCUCAGUGGAAAAAAAUUACCAUUUCAGAGGUUCUUAUAAUUUAUUAUACAUUUAAUAGCAUUUUCAUUUGUCAUAACUCAAAAUCCAAAGUAGUGGUUUCCAUUUUUGUCACGCUGAAUUAUGAGUGAGUCAAAAUCUCUAAAAGAGUACAGGGUGGCAGCAAUCACUAAGCAGGACUUGAUGACACUACUUCUCCCUCCCCUCCAAAAAAUAGGCUGUGAGUUCAGAUAAAGCACAGAGCGGAAAACUGGCACCUUUAUUAGAUAAGGGCACUAAUUAUAGUGAGGUGGGGCACUAUUCAUUUACAUCCUCUGGUACUUCUGAAGAAGCAGGAGCAAUGAUGUGUCAGAACUGAUAAAAGGCACUCAAAAACAGGCUGCCUGGUUUUUGUCCAUAGGGAGUACACAUCUGUAACCAAAGCCAUAUUAGACUUCCUGAGAAGAAACUCAAGACACAAACAAUCUUUAUAAAAGAAUUUCUUAUAAUUAGAUUCUCUAUUUGUAAAUAAGUGAUACAGUGGAGUCUAAUUAUUAUUAUUUGUUUUCUGGUGGAAUGUUUUAACUCUUAGAAGGGUAGUUGAUGAAUUCUUACAAGUAAUAAAGAAAAAAAAAGAAAUGCAAAAGAUUACAUUGAAAGCAGCAAAUCCUUUCACAUAUUAAAUCAAUUUGUUAAAUGAACAAUGUCCUAAUUUUCAGCAUAUCUUUAAGUACUUGGUGAUUUAAUAUGUAACAGCCAACAGUGAAAGUUCCUUUUCUAUAUAGUCUUUUCUUACUACUUCUUGAUAAUAUAACAUACUUACCCACAAAGAUAAAACUUUUAUGCUAUUAUUUGGCCUUCCUGGUUUUGAUAUUCAAUAUGUGUUUAAUGAGUUUCUUUGAUAUACCUUUCAAUAAAGAAGCUAAUUUUUUUUACUGAUUUUGAUUUAAUGUUUUUGUUCUAAACUUCUACAUGUCUUAAAAUUUAAGACUAAAAACUAAAACAAAGAGCAAAAUUUCAUUUUUAUCACAAACAGCAGAAGAUUGAUUCAUAUAGGCCCUACCAAUGUGGCUACAGAGCUAGGCUUUUAAAGCUAGUUAUAUAAAAUCUCUCCAGUGAUGUACAUGUCUCCAUGACAUAUAUUUGGUCCAAGUUUAACCCUCUGCCAGUUGAAGAAAGUGGGGUAGGGAAUAGGGGAGCAAGUUGAACUCUCCCACAAAUGGGGGAGAGGGAUGCUUGGUGUGUGGGUGAAGUAAGUCUAUAGCUCUUGCACAAAUGAUGGCUUUUGAAUGUCAAGGCAAAACCAUGAUUAUUUUUGCAGGACAAGAAAUUACUUACCAUUUCUCUAUUUGUUUCAGGUUAGAUUAUUUUUUUAAAUAAACUUAAAAGAAAGACAUACAUAGUUAUUUGUUGAAACUAGUAGUAAUUCUACUUGAAAAAUCUCAAGAUAAUUUUCACUUUGUUUUCUUCUUGGACAAAUCCAUGGUUCCCACUUAUUUCUAAAUUGGGGCCUCUUCUUCACAAGUUUUAAACGGGUCUACUUAUGACAGUUUACAACAAGAUCUUAAAGGGGAUAGUGGUGGAUCUCUGUGCCAGUAUCCACUCUUGAAUGGCCUCACGCAGCUCAUUGGGAAUCCAUACUCAGAAGGAAAAGCUCCCCACACUUCAUCUGACUUCUCCAAUCCCAGGCAGGCUUCAGGGAGAGAACUUUCUUAUCAAGAAAACCUUUGGAAACCUCCCUUUUACAGUCUGCUUCCAUCACUUUGAACCUAAAAAUUUACUCUAACCCAUCUGCUAAUGAUCUUCUAGAACUGUGUACAUUUAUUUUAUUUAGAGAACUAUUUCCCCUGCUUCUUUCAAGUUAUUUUCUAGAAAUAUCUUCCAUGCAACCAGGAACAAAUAAUUUGGCAAGAGGAGACUGUCAAGGCCAGUCCAAUGAUAAUGGGAGAAUGGAGUUCAUGAUUCACAUUUGUCCAGGUUUUACUUUUACCUAAAGAAAAAAUAUAUAUUGUUUGUAAAGGUUUUGUUGUGUUGGGUCUGCUUGUUACUUGGUGGGUUUUUUUUUUUUUUUGCUUUUGCUUUUUUAAAGACAAAAAUAGAGAAAAAUUUCUCCAAGGGAUUAAGUAAUACUCGGGUAUAUUUAAGAUAGCUAGUUUCUACAUUUGGUUAGUCAUUCUGCAGAUACCAAAAAAAAAAAAAAAAAGUACAAAUCCAAUAUGUAAUAAGACUCUAAGAAGAAGGAAUAAUAAAGGGAAAACAUUGACUAAUUGAUAGAAUCUAAACCAGCUAUAGUUGGGGUGUAUUUCAAUAAAGCUAUCUUAAAAAUAGAAGGUGAGUUAUUACCAAGGCCCAAAGAAAAAAAAUUAUAGUGAGAUUGAUGAUCAAAGUUAAUAACACCUGUAACUUUAAUAGGCUCUGAAGUAAGCUUCACUGCCAAGUUGUUAAAAAAAAAAAAAAAGAAAAGAAAAAGAAAAAGAAAAAGAAAAAGAAGACUCAAUCUCCAUUUACAGGAUAAUCAGUGGCCUGCAGCAAUCUGUAAAGAUGAGAGAGGAAAAAAAAGGAGGAUUAACAUGUCACUCUCCCAUGCUACCAAACCAUGGGACUUGCAAAUCCCAAGAAUGAGGGAGACUCAUACAAGAUCACUUGGGAUUAAACAUGCAAACUAAUGGCCUUACUUUUUGUUCCAAGGGGUCCUGUGAUUGGGCUUGAAGCCAAUACGCUUCAGCCAACAGUCUCUCAAUUAGGUACAGUCCCAAUGCCAAGUUUCUCAGCAAGAGCAUGUGAAAGGGCUCCUUUUGACUUUUGAUCAAAUCCAUUUAAAACCUUUGCCAUGGGAUCCUGAAAAUUGCCAUUUAGAAAUAUGUCUGGAAUGCUCACACCUGGGAAUUGAUAUAUUAGGUACCUGUUCUUACUGUAGCAAUUAUGACCAAUAAGUUCAUAAUACUCUUAAACAAAUGGAUUCAAAGCAAAAUAUUGAUGUGGACUAUGAUGAAAACAGCAAAUCCAUUUACAUUUGCCAACACUAUUAGACCAACAGGUUUUAGGGCAGGGACUUUGUCUUAUAUCUCUGUGCAGGUGCAGAGCCCCAUACAUAGUAGACACUUAAGGAAUAUAUUUUUUAUUAGAUGGAUGAAUCAAACAGCAGAUUGGUUUACUGAACUUGCAAAACAUGCUUCAAAUAAAUAGGUGGUUCACUGUUUGGAAGACCCUUUUAGACUCUAUUUUUUCAGCCACCCAUGGUGAGACCUGAAAUGUUUGUCCUCUUAGGACAGAAGAAGAGCUUUUUACACUGGGAAAUCCAGUCCAUGGCAGUAAGUCUGUUUUGUGAAUGUGUCCUGAUCCUUGCUACUUUAGAAUGUUCAUUUGUAUUCAUAUGUGAAGUAUCCCAUCGUGGCUGUGACUGUAGAACUAUAGAAAAGGACUUUUAUUUCAGCACCGUUUAUUUUCUUUUCAAGUGUAUGGAAAACAGGGGUUGACUAACAGGUAGUACUGGAUACUUUGUUUUCAGAUCAUAUUUGUCUUUUCUAUUGACUUUUAAUGGCAAUAAUAACACAGCUCACAAACUGUAAGAAGGAUUCACACUUGUUCCCUUCAAGAGGGAUGCUUCCAAUGCUUUCAACUCAGCCAAGCUGGACACGAUAAAGGGAGACACUGAAUCCAAAGGAAAGAGAGGACAAUCUGUAGCAAAUUCCAUGGCCUGUGCCCAGGAUCAUCUGUCUAUUCUGCUAAGCUCUUCUACAUAGAGCAAAACACAUCUUCAGACAAAGGAACUUAAAUUGCUUUUUUCCUAAGGAGAAAUUCAGGAAUUUAUGCGGUAUUGAACACUUAAAUCUAAACCAUGAAGGCUUUGAGAGGGUAAACUGUAAAACUGUACUUUUACAAACUUAAACAAUAUUUGCAAACUCAAAUGCCUCUAAUGAUGAAAAGGGUAAUAAAGACCUGAAAAGUGGGCCAGAUGAUAGAUGAAUGGAGUGGUAGAGACGGGCAGGGGGCAUGGUGUGGGGAGAGGUAAGCUUAUGCCUAUUUCAGAGUUACUCAAAUUCUUGAAAACACACACACACACACACACACACACACACAGGCUAGAGAGUCAAGCCUGGAUCUGCUUCUUGUCAUGUGAAAUUUUUUAGAAGGUGCAGUUUCAAAAGAAUGAAGGAUUCAGCCCUGUGGAAGCUAAUUCCUUCUAACCCUUUCCUAAUUUACCAAAAGCUCAACCCACUACUUCCUUGACCUGAUAAGGUCUCAGACUUGACCUUAUCCAGUACUCUUCUCCUUGAGCUCCCCCUAGAGGUGAAGGUCCUCCGCUAACAGGCCCACUGCUGCCACCCACUAUCUUCUGAGUGAAGAUGGGAUAAAUUCCCUGGAACCAGAGUAACACAAGGAUUAUUGCUAAGAAAAUAACAAUCAAAAGGAAAAAAAUAUGUAUUUGAAUUUAUUCCUCAUGUCUUGUAUGCUAAAUAAGAAUUUAAGGCUUACUAUAUGCAAAGAAAUCUAACAGAUGUUCUGAAAAAUACUGAAAUAACCAAUAAUAAUUUAUCCUUCGUCCUUUGGAACAUUUCAGAGCACACAAGAAAAAACAACGCUCUUUCUGCCUUCCUGACAUUUUAAAAUUGUCUUUCACUAAUUUUACUACUAUAUAUUUCUUAAGAAUGGUGUUCUGAAGAACAUUCUCUUCAAACUCUUUUUAAUCUAUUUACAUUCCUUUAUGUACUUCUAUUUAUUCUUCUGGUUUCAAUCACCACCUAUUUUCUAAAGAUUUCCAUCCUUUUAUCUCUAGACUGGACUUUUCUUAAGUGACAGAUUCAUGCUUCCACUUCCUUACUGGAAUUCUUCACUAGAAUGUUUCAAAGUCCCUUCAACUCCAACAUACCCAAAGAAUAAUUUAUGGCCAUAUGCAUUUGGUACCAAACAAGCAUUAUUAGUGAUAAGUGCUAUGAAUCUAGAUCACUUUAGGCUGCAACUGGGAAAGUCUCAUGACAGAGAUUGACCUGAGCGAGACUCUGAACAAAAGGCUGUUUGUGGACAACAGCAUGAACAAAAUCAAGAGAACAGGUGGUGAAUAGGAGUACAUCUAUUGCCAUUCUUUAAAUGCAGAAUUUUUCUACUGCCUCAAUAUUUUAAAUGCCCAAGCUCAAUUUUGACUUCUGUUAUAAUGAAAACAAACAAAAAAAAAAGAAUGAAAAUUUGCCUCAUGACGAUCUCUUUCUCUGUAUCUGAUUUUUCCUUCCCAGUUGGAGAACUUAGAGAUUGAGGACCAGAUAUUCAAUGAAGGACCCAGCCACAUUCCACUCACAAUAGAAAUAUACAUAUUUUCUUAAACAGUUGUGGAUUUCUCUACACUUGAAAACCAAAAAGGGCAAUCCUGAAGGCCCAUUGAGAGUUGGCUCUUGAAUACCAGGCAUUUUCUUUAUUCCUUCUGCAUCCACUUGAGCGUGUGGAUCUGGCUCUGCUUUUGUCCCAGCCAAGGAGCUGAACGCAGCCUCUGAGGCUCCCAGCAUUGCCCAGCAAUUGUGUAAAAGGAGGGCCUUCUUUCCAUUCCCUCCCUUGCGGUGGCACUUCCAGCUUAAGUAACUCUUAGCACAAAUUGGACUUUGUAUAAUCCCAUCAGGCAAGUUCUUUUGACACUUACUUCAAAAUAAAAAGAUGUUUUUCUUCUUUUUCUUUUAUGCAAUGUUACUGUUGGGAAGGGAUGCAGAAAGGCUUUUCUAUUCCCUGACUAAUCAUAGCAGUCACUUUUCUACGCAGAAUUGCAGAUAAUUAAGAGCAUGAUUUUUUUCUUUUUAAUGUACAACUAGAUACACCAUAAAAAUCUUAGCUGCUUGGAACUUUUUCAUGAGAAAGAAGUAUCCUUUUUACUGUGAUAGCCUCAGGGGUGAAAGAAGUUAUACUGAGACAGUUUAUUAAAAAAGCAAUACAGUUGAGAAAAUUCAAUAAAAAACAAUAGGCUCCAUUGAAGAGUUCCACUGUCCUGUUGUUUUUUUGCUCCCACAUUGACAGUUAUAAGAGUUUUGUAAAUUUUAUGUUUAUUUAUUUGUAGCCUUUGAAUAGAAAAUUGUCCAUUUGCAAGGCAAGUAAAUUCCUUUAAAGAUUUAUCAACCACUGUCAUGAAAGAAAUCUUUUAUAAUUACACCUAUUGAAAUUAAUUGGACAGUAUUGUGUAUCAUGACUUGUUUGCCAUAAUACUGGCAUUGUUCUUAAUUGAAAUGCUAUUUGGUGAGUCUCUUUAAUGAAGGGCUAUGUAUUUUUGUUAUUAUUGUUGUUGUUAAUUCCAAACGGCACAAAAAAUUUAGCCCAGAUGAAUAAAUGAAUAAGCAUUUGAAGAAAGAGGAAUUUUCCCAAUUUUCACUAGUUUAUAAGCUAGUACUUGUAUAGGGAUAUAAUAAAAAAGUUUUGUUUUUAAAGAUAGAACAAGACAAUAAUACAUGUUAAUGCACUUGGCUUAAGUUUUCGUAGAGUACUCAUUUGGCUUUUAGGAAUAUAUUCUUUAGAAAUACAUACAGUUCCUGCUCCAUUGGAGAAUGAGAAGCAUGCCCAGACUAGAGACUUAGCAUGACCUGUUUCAAAGUUCAGGAUAGAGAUAUGGUUAUAAUAUAGUUAUCUCCACCCCUUCCUGAGUCAAUCACUUAUUUGUCUACACUUCUUUUUAGAAACAAUAACUCCAACAGCAAUAUCCUUCUUUAAGCCCUCUACCCCCAAAUAAAAUUAUCCAAGAAUGUAGAAACCUAGUGCAAAGGAAGUAAGAGUGAGAGUUUGUCCUGAUUCCAACAGCAAACAGAGAAAGAAUUGUGCCUGAUUACUGCUUCUGCUAUUGUUUGCCCCCCACCCUCCAACACAUAAGAUUGACUUUAAGGAUUCUGCGUGCACAGCCUGAGGAACAGUGUUUGUGAACUGUUGCUGGGUAUUCUUGCUGGUAUGUGUAUAGAUAUGCCCUGAUAGAGAUGCCCUUUAUUAUGUGCCAAGGCACAUAUCACCAUGUUCCUGAAAGCAUGUAAAUGAGGGAAAGAGUAUUCCAGGCAUAUAGAACUGCGUAUGUAAAGACUUAAAACCCAGGAGAGAUGUGGCUGUUUAGACAGAGGAAAACACUGCAAAACUACAUAAAUUGUUUAAUAGCAGGUUACUCGACUAUAAGAUUAUGGGUGAUUUUGUUUUCCCUAAUACCUUUUUUUAACGUUCAUAGUUUUCUGCAAUGAGACCACAUUACCUUUUUAUUUAAAAAUGUUUAGGUACAGGGGCACCUGGGUGGCUUAAUUUGUUAAGCGUCUGACUUUGGCUCAGGUCAUGAUCUCAUGGUUCAUGGGUUUGAGCCCUGCGUCAGGCUCUGUGCUGACAGCUCAGAGCCUGGAGCCUGCUUCAAAUUCUGUGACUCCCUGUCCCUCCCAUGCUUGAGUGCUCUCUCUCUCAAAAAUAAAUAAACAUUUAAAAAAAAUGUUUAGGUACACAUGAGAAUAUAACAUCAGUGACACUGGGAAAAAAAGGUGUACUUGAGAAUAAUAUUAUUAAAAAAAAUUGUAUGGGGCAGUCCUUAAGCUGAAUAAUAGAAGGGAAGGGGAGAAAAUAAAUUCUAGCAGGGGGGAGGUGGCAGUGUUACCUACAACUGUGGUCUAGAAAUCCAGGUCUAGGGCUUGGUCUGGAUGAUCCCAGAGUCUGUGGAGAGGUUAUGGAAAUAUAAGAAAUAAUUUAGGGCUGAAUUUAAGAUGAGAAUUUUUCCAGUCUGCUUUCCCUAUUGCGUAAGGACCACCCAUGCGAGAUACCUGAGAAUUAUUCUUAAUCCUUCACUCUCCUUCCCCUUCCAAGAUUUUUCUUUGUCUUUGGUUUUCUGCAAUUUGAACAUGAUAUGCCUAAGUAUACAUAUAUUUUUAAUUCAUCCUGCUUAGUGUUCUCUGAGAAUUUUGGAUUUAUGUUUUGGUGUCUGUCAUUAAUUCUGGAAAAUUCCCAGGCCUUAUUAUUUCUAUUCCCUUACUUCUCCUCUUGUGUUCUAGUUAUAUACAUAUGUCGCAUCAUUUGAAAUUGUCACACUGUUCUUUGAAAUUUCUCUUGUUUUUUUUUUUUUUUUAUUCAGUUUGUCUUUGCAUUUCAGUUUGGAAAUCUUUAAGUUCAACAAUUCUUUCCUCAACUAUAUCCAGGUAUAUUAAUGGGUCCAUAAAUAUAUUCUUCAUUCCUGUUACAAUGUUUUUGAUUUUUAGAACUUCCUUUUGAUUUUUUUCUUGGAGUUUCCAUCUCUCCACUUACAUUAUCAAGCUGUUCUUACAUGUUCUUUACUUUUUGCAUUAGAGCUUUUUCACAUAUUAAUAUAGUUAUUUUAAAUUCCCUGUCUGAUAAUUCCAAAGAUCAUCCCACACCAGGGUCUGCUGCUGAUGCUUACUUUGCUUCUCCAGACUAUUUUUUCUUUCCUUUAAGCGAGCCUUAUAAUUUUUUUUUGAAAUCUAUACUGUAUUGCGUAAAAAGAGUUGAAGUAAAUAGCUUUUUAGUUUGAGGUUUUAUCUGCUAGAAGUUGGGUUGGCUGUAUUUAAUAUUUGUGGUAGCUGUAGAAGCCAGAGGCUUUAAAUUCUUCUAGUGUUCUUGAUUUUUGUCUCUCUUGUUGACUUUGGGCCUUCCUAAGCACUCCUCCAUAGAUAGAAUCUGCAUCCUGCAGCUUGUAACCCAUAAUCCACUGCUAUUGUCAGAAGCCUUGUCAGUGUGAUGGUAAGAUGCAGAGAGGGUAAGAAUUCUUCAAUCUUAUGAAGUAAUCUCAGUCUUUGAGUGGGCAUGAGUUUCUGGGUUGUGACCUCCAGAUGUUUUUUUAAAAUUUUUUUUAACAUUUAUUUAUUUUUGAGACAUAGAGAGACAGAACAUGAACGGGGGAGGGUCAGAGAGAGAGGGAGACACAGAAUCCGAAACAGGCUCCAGGCUCUGAGCGGUCAGCACAGAGCCCGAUGUGGGGCUUGAACUCACGGACCGUGAGAUCGUGACCUGAGCUGAAGUCGGACGCUUAACCGACUGAGCCACCCAGGCGCCCCUCCAGAUAUGUUUUUUAACCUUCUUCAUCUCCUUAUAUUAUACAUGAAGGCUACAGAAGGCAGGAGUUGGGAGAAAUAUCCUUUCCACAGGUUGGAUAAGGCUCUGGUAAGGUCUUUUCCUCUGGAAGUAGGACUUUUUUUAUAGAGCUCUGCACCUGUUUCAAAUGGUCCCUGCCAGAGUCACAAGGGGAUUUUAUUAGCUUUUAACAAAAAGAAACUCUUGGGAUUUCUGGAUGUAGAACCCCUGAAAGUGUGAGUGGUCCCCCAAUACUGCACUUCUAAGGAGUUUCUCUGUCUCAUGCUAAUACACACUCAGCUUUCAGUAAUUCAUUAAAAUUACCAUUUGAGUUUUCCUAGUAGUUUAUGGUUACAGAGGCUUCUACCUCAGGUAAAUAUAUCUUAGCUGUGACUCUGGAUUUUUCUGUCUUGCCAGAUUUGGUGGUGAAGGUUUGCCUUUCAACUACAGUUCUGUGAUGGGUCCAAGAAAAUUCACUGAUUUUCAGUUUGUUCAGGUUUGUUUGUUUUUUUUUUUUCUGUUGUUGUUAUAAGGACAGAUGGAACAUCUUCCAAAUUUUAUACAUGCCUGAAAUGAGAGCAGAAGUCCUGUCCUCUUUCUUAUCUUUACAACCAAUAAAUAAAAGAUUCCUGGUUUUAUCUUCUAUCUCUUAGAUUUGUCCUUCCAUUUGAUCCCCCCCACUAUUGCUUUCCUUCAGGCUUCUUUGUCUCCAACAUAUAUCAUUUCAGAAACUUAGUAAAUGGUCCCUGUGCCCUUAAAUCCCCUCAAAUUAUGGUGAACAUACAUUCUAUUUUUCCAGGGAUAGUUCUAGAUUAUGCCUAUUUUCUGAGUGGGAUGAUCACAGUGCUCCCUUUUUGGUAUUCCAGUUGGGCAACAAUUAUGUGGUCACCCUACCUUGAAUCAAUCCUGCCUCUGUCCACCUCUGUCCUCAAAUGAUCUUUCUAAGAUUUAAAUAUGAUCAUGUCCCUCUCCUAUAUAACACUCUUUAAUUGUUUCCCUCAAUCUAUAGGGUAAAAUCUCAAUGCCUUAUAAUACGAGGGCACCCGACGUCCUCCAUGACCUGCCUCCUGGCAUUUUGGGCUAUUUUUUAAUCAUGUCUUUCUUAACCCCCUAAGUUUGAAGAUCUGGCAAUAUAGAGCUACUUGGUAUUUCUUGAACACAGAAUGUUAUUUUAAACACUGCCACCUUUUCUCUGAAAUCAUCUAAGACCCAUUCCUCUCCCUGCCAGCCCUUCUCACCUACCUCUCCCAAAUUCAGUUAUUAUAAAUCAUCAUUAAUUAAUUAUCAAUUAUUCAUAGUUACAUUAUAAUUUAACCAUUGUUUUUCAGGCUCCAUCACACACAUACAAACACUACACUACAAACACUAGAAUAUCAACCUUUCAAAAGCAGAAAAUGGAUCCAUAUCGUUUGAAUUCUCAGUGUCUAACAUAAUAGGUACUCAGUAAUGUAAGUGGUACUCAACAAGUAUUUUGCUCAGUUGGUUUAGGAGACAGGAGAGCGAUAAUAAUUCUAGUUAGUAACAAGGAUACAAUCAAGUUAACAUCAUGAAUUUAUACAGACUAAUGGUCUCUUAGACCUAUGAUUUCUCUCAGAAGAAGCUACAAUGCUGACUUUCUAUAAAUCUGACACUUCAAGUUAUUAAAGAUGGAAAUAAUAGGGCAAUUCAAUGAUUUAGAAGAAGAAACAAAGACAAAUGAAAAUAAUAGUGAUAAAAAACUUGCCUUUACCUUUUGGCUCAGUUCCAAUUUAAAAUUCUGGAACUCUUUAGAGUUCCAUGCUGGAUUCUGGUGCACAGCACACCCCUUUUCUCUUCCUAAUCUUAGCCCACUAUUGUAAUCUCUGUCCUCACUCUCCACAAACAGCCACAUCCUUGCCAUCCCCUUGGGCCUGGAGUUGUACACACUAGCAGUAUGGUAGGCACUUUUGGAGUAUGGCCACAGGAAGUGGUCUAUGCAGGGAAUAUGAAGUUUUGUUGUCCCUGGAACCUAGAGUGUGCUCUGAAAGGGAAAGCACAAACAUAUAGCUUGACCCUACAUACAGCUCACCUCACUGAAAGAAAGAUAGCUGAAAGCAGGUCCAAUGAGGUCCUCUAAUGUUUAGUGCUCAGAGUAGGGGCUCCUUUGCUAAGGUCUAAGUGUGGUAUGGAUGUGAACAUUAUAUAGAAAAUGGGAUAGAGGAUAGCAUUGUGUUAUCAUACAUAAGCAGGUUUUUAAUAGAACAAGGAGUGAGAAAAUGUUUUGGGGAACUAUAAAGUCUGCAUGUAAUAGAAUGGGGCAGAAUUGAAAGUCAUAAACAAAAGCUAUGAAUGGAAGGAAAAAUAAAUUAGGGAUGAAUGUUAGCUCAUAAUCUCAUUUCUUCCAUCUCUGCUUCUGGCUCCCUGCAGCUGGGCAUAUUGGUUUUCUUACCUUAGGAACAAACUUACUCUUGCUUCUUAAAGAGGUCUUUUCCUUGUUGCCCACAAUAGGCUUUGAAAUAAGAAAUUUCUAGACUCAAGUCCUUCUCCUUCAUUAGUGAUUUAUAUUUUCUUCAGUAACUUGGGUGGCAAGAUUUCAUUUCUCAUAAACCUGAGAAGAUUAAGAUGGAUUACCAUAUUAGUUUGAGGAGAGUGGAGAGUUUGUGGUUAGAGAUGCGAAAACAGGAGAUAUCCAAGUAAAAACAGAUAUAUUCAGAAUUUCCAUGACACCUUUGGGCUACGGUAUAUAGAGCCUGUUUUUUGUCAAGAAUAUCUCAGUAUAUUGGAAGUCUUGAAAGAGAAUCCAUUUCAGCCACAGCAGUUUUCUCAAAUGAUAUAUCAGUCAUCUGUUUUCUUCUACCCAUCACAGGCAGAGUUCUCCAGAAACAGAUCCUCAGAUGGAGCUCAGAGUGCAAGGUAUUUAUUAGGGAUUAACACCUGUGAAGGGACAGGUGGGGCGGGGGUGGGCCCUGCAAAACUGCAGCCAACACAAUGGGGAGCUCUGUAUUAAAUAUUGACUAGGGCAUCUUUCCCAAGGUCAGUCAAAAUGGCCAGGCUUUAUAUCUGACCUUGUUCAUUCACUAAUGUGGGCUGAGCCAGGAAGGGCAUGACCUCAGGUGGGGAAUCCUUCUGUAGCUGAGGCAGACUCUGAAGAAGCUGAGAGCUGGAGGCCAUCUGCUGACCAUGCUCCUUGCAGGUGGGCAAUCAGUCCUUCCUUGAAGAAAGACCUAAAUGGCACAUGCCCAUGUCUACUUUACCAUCUUUGACUCUGAGUUCUUUUCUAUGUGCUGGAUCCAUUCUGAAAUUUCCAGUUAGGGCAAAAAUAUUCACCCAAAGCUUCAGACUUAUGUUUCACCAGUUUGGCAACUUUAAAGAAAGAAUCUCUUACAAAAGUUUCAGUUAAUGACCUGAGAUUGAAUAUUAUCAGUUUGUCUGGGGGUCAUGAGCUCAUUUCUAGAGCAAAGUUAUGGUGCAAAGUUAGCCCCACCUAAAAUGCAUGGACUGAGAGCAAGAGUGGAGAGGUACCUUAAAGACAUACCAUUGUACUGUUACCAAAUAAAGGGUGUUACGGAGUGGGGAAGAGAAGUCUCCUGCCCUCCUGUAGGCCCUGAUCACCAUGCAUCCUGGAGCCUUUUGUAGAAUGGUCUGGUGGUCCCCAAGGAAUUGUGUAACUGCACCUAGUUAUAGGUAGAGGAUCUCAAAGUGUGCUGUUAACAUUCAGAGACCCUCAUAAUUUUGGAAGACAUGACCUUGACUUCACUAUAAAGACGAGAAUCCAUAAUGUUGCAGUGCACAGAUUAUUAAAAAUCCACACACACCCCCCCCCUUUCUAGCAAUUCUACUCAUGUUCUGAAACACCAUUUUCUUUUCUUUUCUUUGUAACAGAGUGGAGAAUAACUGUGGUAUUCUGCAACAUGCUGAAUGGAAAAGUAGCACAGGAACACAGUAACAAAGAGCCUUUCAUGCUGCAAGGGAGAGUAUUCCUGUUGGCAGAGAGAACCUUCACCGCUGGGACUGCUAAACUGCAAAUCUGUGAAAAGAAAGAUUUCUAUGUUUAGAAAUACUGGAUAUACUUAAAAUAGUGUCACUUUAGUGUGUGUGUGUGUGUGUGUGUGUGUGUGUACACAGCUUGCUUGUGUGUCUAUGUAUGUGUAUGAAUAUUUUAUUUAAAAUCUCUUUGGUGGGGCUUAUGAAGGUUUACUCUUCUUUGGAGUGUUGAAUCUAUUUGUCUGAAAUAUAAUAAACCAGGGAUUAUACUCAGAGGGCACACAUCAAGCAGCCAUACUGCUUAUUAA
rnacentral:lncRNA from 1 species